ensembl:lncRNA
GUCUCCACGGUGACCAGCUCAUUUCCAGGGGAUCCCCUGCCAAGAGGCGGACCUCGACGACAGCGUUAUUACGCUUCCAGCGUAACAGGCCAACUCUGCUCGCUAUUUCAUUUUUCUUUAAGUGUUUUGAUAAUUUACUUACAUAACAGUGUUGCGUUCUCUACAUCAGCAGCUGCUGUACAUUUAUAAUGGGUAUAAUAUCGAUAAUGGCCACUUAGCUGACUUAAUAACUCUUUCUCCCCCCCCGGUGGGUUUGUUGUUUAUCGGUACUACCUAGCUAUGUGUUUCAGCGGGCAUGCAUGGCUCGGUUUUAGGUGGGUGUCUACGUAGAUGCAUAGGCUUCCUAGAAGUGGGGUUUAUUUCAGGAAGAUGCACUUGCUUGGAACCCCCCACAACCCUCAGCCCCUUUAAUAACCUCCCUAAUGACACCACCCUCAUCAGACUACAUACGGCAGAGGGGAGGAUGUGCAGUUCCAGGAUGUCUCCCACACACACCUCUCAAAGCCGGAAAUAAUAGUAUUACAACCGCAGUCAGAUCUCCUCUCUGGAAAUUGUAUGCCCUUCCCCCAUAGAUGAAGUGUUUCUAUUUGUUUGGUUGGAUUUAUUUUUUCGAGUGUCGGAGUUACUUAUUUUCCCUCUCAUGGCUAUACGUGAGAAAAUAACAUUUUCCUCAACACUUUUAAUUAGCAUGCGUCCAUGUCUACAACACAUAAAAAAAGUAUCGACCUUUUGAUACGUUAAACAGUUUGCCACGGAUGUUGUUGCAGCUGCGGAAUAAACCGUUUGUAUUUAUUUAACAAUUUAAAAGUGCUUACAGAGGCGAUCUCAAACAAACACAGGCCUCUGCAUUGAAACUAUUUAUUAUUUCCCGCUGUAAGGUUGAGGAAAAACCGUAUUGAUGGGGGAAGGGAUGCACACACUAGUUAUUAAUGAAAGACCUUAAAAGCUUGUUUUGCUGUUGUUUAAAGCGAUUCAUGUUAAAUUGGCCCUGAGCCAAUUAAGCACUAAAGAGGUUCAGCUGUGCCUGGUAAAUGUCCAAUAAUGCCGUGCUGCGUAUCAGGUCUACAGAAUCCCAGAGCCACCUAUGACCCUCACAAACUUACCCCCGGAGACGAGCUACAUCAUGUAGACGUGGAGCCAGGCGAGGCUGCAGAGGUGGGAUGGUGAACAUGCUGGGAAUCCAGAAUGUUCCAUCGGACGGCCUUCCUUUGGUUUGCUGUGGACUCCACAAACAAGCGCUGAUCGUCUAGAUGCACUUCACUGCAGAAGCCCUGAAGAGUGGAGGAUGACCUUCAGAGCUGUGUGCAGGGGAGAGCCAUCAGAAUAAAUUAGGCUGGCAGAAGAAGUGAAAAGCUUGUGGCUCACAUUGGACAGGGGGCUGGUGAGGAGGAGAUGCAGGGGGUGAUGCACAAGCACCCGAUGAAGUAUGCAGGCCUCUGGGGGGGCCGGAGAACCACUGAGACCCCUUGAUUGACAAUGAGACUCCUUGAUUGACACUUGAGACCCCCUGACAGCCGCAAUAGCAAAAUGUCACUGGGGGUCCUAAUGUCCAAUAUUCAUUUUUCAAAUUGCAAAACAUGGAUUCACAAACAUAAAUAGGCUCCAGAAAAACAUUAUUGUGGUGCUCGAUCUGAAUCAUUCAUUGAAUCCCAGAAAGGCCUUCUUCCAGUUGCAAAUGCUCCGCAAUCCAAAUGUUGUGCGAUUUAGAAAACCUGAACAGAUAAACAGCAGCACAGCAGCAUUCUGGAAGCAGACUACCGACAGCAAGUAGAUUGUGUGGAGAGGAUGACCCAGUCUUUAGAAGUUCCAUCUGAACGCUGUCUCCUCCUACCUUUGUACCCCCCC